ensembl:lncRNA
AGAGGAUUGAGGCUCAUUCUAUCACACUCACUCACAGCAGCGAGAGCGCGGAGGAUGGAGGCGACUGAAGCGGUAGGUGAAACGCGUCUCUUACUUCUCGCUGAAGAGCGGUUAGCUGCUCAGACCUGCCUGUUGGAGGAACAGUGAGCUGUGACGGGUUUCUGUGGUUUUGUCGUGAGUCUUGGAGUUUGUCCAGUGGGGUUUCGUGCGUUGAAGUGUUUGCUGGGUCAAAAGCUCGAGUAUUAGUGUUGGAGGGACUGACGCUGUCCGAGGUGCUGAAACUAGGAGCCUGUAAGCAGUUUAAGAGCUGA